CCUACGGGUGGCUGCAGUGAGGAAUAUUGGUCAAUGGCCGAGAGGCUGAACCAGCCAAGUCGCGUGAGGGAAGACGGCCCUACGGGUUGUAAACCUCUUUUGUCGGGGAGAAAAUAGAGUCACGUGUGACUCAUUGAGAGUAUCCGAAGAAAAAGCAUCGGCAAACUCCGUGCCAGCAGCCGCGGUUAUCCGGGGGAUGCGAGGGUUAUCCUGAUUUAUGGGGUUUAAAGGGUGAGCAGGCGGAGGUGCAAGUCAGCGGUCAAACUGCGGGGCUCAACCCCGUACUGCGGUUGAAACUGCAUCCCUUGAGUGCGCGAGAAGUAUGCGGAAUGCGUGGUGUAGCGGUGAAAUGCAUAGAGAUCACGCAGAACUCCGGUGGCGAAGGCGGCAUACCGGCGCGCAACUGACGCUCAUGCACGAAAGCGUGGGUAUCGAACAGGAUUAGAUACCCGUGUAGUC
rnacentral:rRNA from 1 species